rnacentral:tRNA from 1 species
GGCACUGUAGCUCAGCCUGGUUAGAUCGCCACGCUCAUAACGUGGAGGUCAGGGGUUCAAAUCCCCUCAGUGCCA